rnacentral:rRNA from 1 species
GACGAACGCUGGCGGCGUGCCUAAUACAUGCAAGUUGAGCGAUGAAGCUUGGUGCUUGCUCCAAUUUGAAGAGCAGCGAACGGGUGAGUAACGCGUGGGGAAUCUGCCUUUGAGCGGGGGACAACAUUGGGAAACGAAUGCUAAUACCGCAUAAUAACUUUAAACAUAAGCUUUAAGUGUGAAAGAUGCAAUUGCAUCACUCAAAGAUGAGCCCGCGGCCUAUUAGCUAGUUGGUGGGGUAAAGGCUUACCAAGGCGAUGACACUGAGCCGACCUGAGAGGGGUACUGGACACACUGGGACUGAGACACGGCCCAGCCGCCUCCGGGGGGCAGCAGUAGGGAAUAUUGCACAAUGGGCGCAAGCCUGAUGCAGCAACGCCGCGUGGGGGAGGACGGCCGUCGGGUUUGAAACCUCUUUUAGUAGGGAAGAAGCGCAAGUGACGGUACCUGCAGAAAAAGCACCGGCGAACUACGUG